GGCAGCAUGGUGUAGUGGUUCGAGUGUUGGACUAUGACUCCGGAGACCAGGGUUCAAUUCCCAGCUCAGCUA
rnacentral:tRNA from 1 species